CGCCGCCGCAGCACGGGCGGCGCGGCGCCGGCCUCUCCCGCGGGGACACCGCCGUGCCGCGGGGACACCCGGCCCGGGCCUGCAGAAUUUUUUAUCAUCUAAAGACUGAAUAUGGACCCUGAAAGUGAAAUAAAGAAGCAAAUAAACCCCUUUUACUGCAAUAUUUGCAAAAUCUGGUGUUCUUCUGCAUUAAACUUGCAGACUCAUUUCCUUGGAGCAAAACACAGGACGGUAAGAUCAGUUUUUGAAUGCACCUUUUGUCAGAUUUUACCAAUUUAUUUAGCAACAGAUUAUGGGGUUUGAAAUAUAGUUUUGGUGUGGUGGUGAAACAUACAAUUUCGGAUAUUUAACUAGUUUUGCUAAUUUACUGUCUUCUCUACAAUGAUAAAAUAGAACCUGGUUUUGUACAAUUGUCCUGUCAGAAAAUGUUACAUCUUUAUGUCUAGUAAAUAUAGUACAUGAGACUACAUGGCUGUUAAUAAAUGGAGAAUGGAAUUACUUAAAUAAUUGACA
rnacentral:lncRNA from 1 species